rfam:Camelus ferus unplaced genomic scaffold scaffold1891, whole genome shotgun sequence.
GAGGGUAUAGCUCAAUGGUAGAGUGUAUACCUAGCAUGCAUGAGGCCCUGGGUUCAAUCCCUGGUACCUCCA